CGCUGGCGGCGUGCUUAACACAUGCAAGUCGAGCGAUGAAAUCCCUUCGGGGAUGGAUUAGCGGCGGACGGGUGAGUAACACGUGGGUAACCUGCCUCAUAGAGGGGAAUAGCCUUCCGAAAGGAAGAUUAAUACCGCAUAAGAUUGUAGUUUCGCAUGAAACAGCAAUUAAAGGAGUAAUCCGCUAUGAGAUGGACCCGCGUCGCAUUAGCUAGUUGGUGAGGUAACGGCUCACCAAGGCGACGAUGCGUAGCCGACCUGAGAGGGUGAUCGGCCACAUUGGGACUGAGACACGGCCCAGACUCCUACGGGAGGCAGCAGUGGGGAAUAUUGCACAAUGGGGGAAACCCUGAUGCAGCCAACGCCGCGUGAGUGAUGACGGUCUUCGGAUUGUAAAGCUCUGUCUUUAGGGACGAUAAUGACGGUACCUAAGGAGGAAGCCACGGCUAACUACGUGCCAGCAGCAGC
rnacentral:rRNA from 1 species